AGCGGACCGACGGGAGCUUGCUCCCCUUAGGUCAGCGGCGGACGGGUGAGUAACACGUGGGUAACCUGCCUGUAAGACUGGGAUAACUCCGGGAAACCGGGGCUAAUACCGGAUGCUUGAUUGAACCGCAUGGUUCCAAUCAUAAAAGGUGGCUUUCAGCUACCACUUACUGAUGGACCCGCGGCGCAUUAGCUAGUUGGUGAGGUAACGGCUCACCAAGGCGACGAUGCGUAGCCGACCUGAGAGGGUGAUCGGCCACACUGGGACUGAGACACGGCCCAGACUCCUACGGGAGGCAGCAGUAGGGAAUCUUCCGCAAUGGACGAAAGUCUGACGGAGCAACGCCGCGUGAGUGAUGAAGGUUUUCGGAUCGUAAAACUCUGUUGUUAGGGAAGAACAAGUACCGUUCGAAUAGGGCGGCACCUUGACGGUACCUAACCAGAAAGCCACGGCUAACUACGUGCCAGCAGCCGCGGUAAUACGUAGGUGGCAAGCGUUGUCCGGAAUUAUUGGGCGUAAAGCGCGCGCAGGCGGUUUCUUAAGUCUGAUGUGAAAGCCCCCGGCUCAACCGGGGAGGGUCAUUGGAAACUGGGGAACUUGAGUGCAGAAGAGGAGAGUGGAAUUCCACGUGUAGCGGUGAAAUGCGUAGAGAUGUGGAGGAACACCAGUGGCGAAGGCGACUCUCUGG
rnacentral:rRNA from 1 species